AAAUAGAACUUUGCAGAGAGAGUUAACAGGGCGUGAAACCGUUAAUUGGCAAACGAAUAGGAGCCACGAAGUCGUUUCGCUGAUAGUGAGGCCUAGUUCAGUUUGAAAUCCAAAAGAAUUUCAGGCGUAUUCUUGUGCUUUGCCAUCUUUGUAAGCGUACACUGCAACCGGUUAGACGAUUAACCAUGGGCCAAGUUGUAUUGGAUCCUCGGAACUAGUUCAACGAAAUAUUGUUUGUCCCAGUUAGUAGUAGCGAUUGAUUUUUUCGGAUUUCUCUUGUUGCUUGAUUGGGGCAAGUGAACUAUGGUUAAAUACUGACCGGCAAAAUGAAAAUCAUCCGCAAGGGUGUUUUAUAAAAUGCGUCCUUUAUAUUAGUGUCCACAUGCUUGACCGUUUGGUUUAAGCUCAGCAUUUUUGAAUUUGGACUUGCUAGCUACCAAUGGGGCAACUCUUGGUGUUAGUAUAGCUUCAUCUAAUCGGGUGUUGACUUAGCUAGGCGUAGUUCGGGUAUGAAACGAUCGGGCACUAGCAUAAGAGGUUCCGCAAUCAUUGGCAGUGAGUAGGUCGGCUUUCCGAACGACCCGUCUUGAAACACGGACCAAGGAGUCUAAUUAGGCAUCGAGUCGAUCGGUCUUGUUUAGGCCAGACUAAUUAAGCGCAAGCUUAAUUGAACGAAGGCGUAGAGAAAUCAAAUCGUGUGAUCAUUGGGAUAAUAACAAUCCCAGUGCGCAACAUGUGCCUGUUCGUAUGACAAUGUCGUAAGACUUGUUGGACGGAGUAUAAAGAUGCUUGAUUGGUACC
rnacentral:rRNA from 1 species